ACGGGUGAGUAACACGUGAGUAAUCUGCCCUUCACUCUGGGAUAAGCACUCGAAAGGGUGUCUAAUACCGGAUACGACCGAUCACCGCAUGGUGUGUUGGUGGAAACUUUUGUGGGUGGGGGAUGUGCUCGCGGCCUAUCAGCUUGUUGGUGGGGUAAUGGCCUACCAAGGCUUCGACGGGUAGCCGGCCUGAGAGGGUGACCGGCCACACUGGGACUGAGACACGGCCCAGACUCCUACGGGAGGCAGCAGUGGGGAAUAUUGGACAAUGGGCGGAAGCCUGAUCCAGCAACGCCGCGUGAGGGAUGACGGCCUUCGGGUUGUAAACCUCUUUCAGUAUCGACGAAGCGCCCGUGUGGGUGGUGACGGUAGGUACAGAAGAAGCACCGGCCAACUACGUGCCAGCAGCCGCGGUAAUACGUAGGGUGCGAGCGUUGUCCGGAAUUAUUGGGCGUAAAGGGCUCGUAGGCGGUUUGUCGCGUCGGGAGUGAAAACACUGGGCUUAACCGAGUGCUUGCUUCCGAUACGGGCAGACUUGAGGCAUUGAGGGGAGAACGGAAUUCCUGGUGUAGCGGUGAAAUGCGC
rnacentral:rRNA from 1 species